GGAGAAUGCAAACAACGUGAUUCCAACAUCCAGCCAUGCAAGAAAACGUGCAUUUUACCCGAGGGAACACAGAAUCAAUAAGGAAAGUCGUCUUUCUUUAAUCAGAGUUGGAGUGGACCUCUUGUUGAAGAACUUCUCCAGGCACUAUGAACCAUCUGACUAAUGCUGUCAUGAAACGCCAUGAAAAGGCAACUGCUGGACACCUGGGACAGGCCAUCAAUUCCAAGUUGGCGUCAAUUCCCUGUUAGAGUUUAGAGUUGUCUAAUAGAGAGGGUGAAGGAAGAACAUCCAAACCCUGCCCCUGCUUCCUUCAAGAUUUUUUAUGGAUUUAUAUAAUGGUGUUUUUUCAUAAAGUAAAGGCAGUGGCAAAAUUAACAUGACACUACUUUGAUGUUUUGUUCUACAAAUUAAACCACACACACACUCCAAAAACACCAAUUUUGAUACAAUUUGCAUUUGCAAGAAAAAAAAUCAAAGU
ensembl:lncRNA